GAUGAACGCUAGCGACAGGGCUUAACACAUGCAAGUCGAGGGGCAGCGGGGUUGUAGCUUGCUAUAACCGCCGGCGACCGGCGCACGGGUGAGUAACACGUAUGCAACCUGCCCGUUGCAGGGGGAUAAGCGGAAGAAAUUCCGUCUAAUACCGCGUAAUAUGGGGUUAAGGCAUCUUAAUCUCAUUAAAGAUUUAUCGGCAACGGAUGGGCAUGCGGCGCAUUAGCUAGUUGGCGGGGUAACGGCCCACCAAGGCGACGAUGCGUAGGGGUUCUGAGAGGAAGGUCCCCCACACUGGUACUGAGACACGGACCAG
rnacentral:rRNA from 1 species